rnacentral:rRNA from 1 species
GACGAACGCUGGCGGCGUGCUUAACACAUGCAAGUCGAACGGAAAGGCCCCUUUGGGGGUCCUCGAGUGGCGAACGGGUGAGUAACACGUGAGUAACCUGCCCUUGACUUCGGGAUAACUUCAGGAAACUGGGGCUAAUACCGGAUAGGAAUCCUUGCUGCAUGGUGGGGGUUGGAAAGCUUCGGCGGUUUUGGAUGGACUCGCGGCUUAUCAGCUUGUUGGUGGGGUAGUGGCUUACCAAGGCUUUGACGGGUAGCCGGCCUGAGAGGGCGACCGGCCACAUUGGGACUGAGAUACGGCCCAGACUCCUACGGGAGGCAGCAGUGGGGAAUAUUGCACAAUGAGCGGAAGCCUGAUGCAGCAACGCCGCGUGCGGGAUGACGGCCUUCGGGUUGUAAACCGCUUUCAGCAGGGGCGAAGCUUUUGUGACGGUACCUGCAGAAGAAGCACCGGCUAACUACGUG